rnacentral:lncRNA from 1 species
AGGCUCGUGCCAGGUGCGGGCGCACAUUCAACUUGGAGGGCUGUCCUGUGUGCCAGCCAGGAAGCCUUAGAAUUUCGGAAUGAGAUUCUCCUUGAUCAGCAUCAUCCUGUUGUCCUGCCUGCAAUGCUCCACUUUCCAUCUCUGUGGGACAAGCCCUUCUAAUCACCUUCAAGGCAGAGCCUGCCUCUCAGACUCAAGUUCCUUUUAAAUGUGAUCGCUUGUGACCUUUUCAAUUAAAAAAAGAAAAUGCUUUGAA